CCUACGGGAGGCAGCAGUGGGGAAUAUUGCGCAAUGGGCGAAAGCCUGACGCAGCGACGCCGCGUGCGGGAUGAAGGUCUUCGGAUCGUAAACCUCUGUCAGCAGGGAAGAACGGUCACUGUGCUAAUCAGCAGUGCAUUGACGGUACCUGCAAAGGAAGCACCGGCUAACUCCGUGCCAGCAGCCGCGGUAAUACGGAGGGUGCGCGCGUUAAUCGGAGUUACUGGGCGUCAAGCGAUCGUAGGCGGUAUGUCAAGUCAAGGGUGAAAUCCCCGCGCUCAACGUGGGAACUGCCUUUGAAACUGGCAAACUGGAGUGUGUGAGAGGAUAGUGGAAUUCCUGGUGUAGGAGUGAAAUCCGUAGAUAUCUGGAGGAACACCAGUGGCGAAGGCGACUAUCUGGCACAUAACUGACGCUGAGGAGCGAAAGCGUGGGUAGCAAACAGGAUUAGAUACCCGGGUAGUC
rnacentral:rRNA from 1 species